rnacentral:rRNA from 1 species
AGAGUUUGAUCAUGGCUCAGAUUGAACGCUGGCGGCAGGCCUAACACAUGCAAGUCGAGCGGUAGCACAGGGAGCUUGCUCCUGGGUGACGAGCGGCGGACGGGUGAGUAAUGUCUGGGAAACUGCCUGAUGGAGGGGGAUAUCUACUGGAAACGGUAGCUAAUACCGCAUAACGUCGCAAGACCAAAGAGGGGGACCUUCGGGCCUCUUGCCAUCAGAUGUGCCCAGAUGGGAUUAGCUAGUAGGUGGGGUAACGGCUCACCUAGGCGACGAUCCCUAGCUGGUCUGAGAGGAUGACCAGCCACACUGGAACUGAGACACGGUCCAGACUCCUACGGGAGGCAGCAGUGGGGAAUCUUCGGCAAUGGACGAAAGUCUGACCGAGCAACGCCGCGUGUAUGAAGAAGGCCUUCGGGUUGUAAAGUACUUUCAGCGGGGAGGAAGGUGUUGAGGUUAAUAACCUCAGCAAUUGACGUUACCCGCAGAAGAAGCACCGGCUAACUCCGUGCCAGCCGCCGCGGUAAUUC